rnacentral:lncRNA from 1 species
AGAGAUUGGAGCAAAAGUAAAAGCGACAGUGAGGAGAUUGUGCAUCGGGAUUUCAGACGACGCUGACAAACCGAUAUCGGGUUUGUAUUGCAUUGGAAUGUUUAGACGAAAAAAGAACUUCGUCACUCCUACACCCAAUCGCCUCAUCCGCUCUCCAAGGCCUUUCCACUCCUCUUUCUCGGGGGAACCACGGCUAACACUGUGGGCACACACCCUCUGGAGGUACAGGUGUGUUUGUCUGUGCUCGCGCACAUGGAUAUUUAAAUGAAGAUAGUCUUCCUCAUAAACAUGCUGGGUGGAAUUCUCCUCAUGAAUUCCCAAACCCUUGGAGUGUGGCAUACCUAGAGAAAUAACAUCACCAGGAUUAGCCCAACCUGUGGGAUUAUGAAUUCCAGUUGCUUUUGAACUUAUAGAUCCUUUCCGACUAUUCACGGCAAGCGGCCUGCCUCUCCUGGUCUUUCUUUGAAUUGAGAUGCUCCCUGAGGAGGCUGGAGGGGAAGAGAAAGAAAACACAGCAGCUCACCACAGUCUAGUUAGUUUACAGUGGAAAGUGUGUAAUGGCAGCCUGACCUUCAACUACGGAGUGCCCCAGAGGACCUCAUCGGGGCUUUUAAUUCAUGCUCAGGCCUUGUCUAAUAAAGGGCUUCAUU